rnacentral:rRNA from 1 species
AUUGAACGCUGGCGGCAGGCUUAACACAUGCAAGUCGAGCGGGGGAAGGUAGCUUGCUACCGGACCUAGCGGCGGACGGGUGAGUAAUGCUUAGGAAUCUGCCUAUUAGUGGGGGACAACAUCUCGAAAGGGAUGCUAAUACCGCAUACGUCCUACGGGAGAAAGCAGGGGAUCUUCGGACCUUGCGCUAAUAGAUGAGCCUAAGUCGGAUUAGCUAGUUGGUGGGGUAAAGGCCUACCACGACGACGAUAUGUAGCGGGUCUGAGAGGAUGAUCCGCCACACUGGGACUGAGACACGGCCCAGACUCCUACGGGAGGCAGAAGUGGGGAAUAUUGGACAAUGGGGGGAACCCUGAUCCAGCCAUGCCGCGUGUGUGAAGAAUGCCUUAUGGUUGUAAAGCACUUUAAGCGAGGAGGAGGCUACUCUAGUUAAUACCUAGGGAUAGUGGACGUUACUCGCAGAAUAAGCACCGGCUAACUCUGUGCCAGCAGCCGCAGUAA